AACGAACGCUGGCGGCAGGCUUAACACAUGCAAGUCGAGCGAGACCUUCGGGUCUAGCGGCGGACGGGUGAGUAACGCGUGGGAACGUGCCCUUCUCUACGGAAUAGCCCCGGGAAACUGGGAGUAAUACCGUAUACGCCCUUUGGGGGAAAGAUUUAUCGGAGAAGGAUCGGCCCGCGUUGGAUUAGGUAGUUGGUGGGGUAAUGGCCCACCAAGCCGACGAUCCAUAGCUGGUUUGAGAGGAUGAUCAGCCACACUGGGACUGAGACACGGCCCAGACUCCUACGGGAGGCAGCAGUGGGGAAUCUUAGACAAUGGGGGCAACCCUGAUCUAGCCAUGCCGCGUGAGUGAUGAAGUCCUUAGGGUUGUAAAGCUCUUUCAGCUGGGAAGAUAAUGACGGUACCAGCAGAAGAAGCCCCGGCUAACUCCGUG
rnacentral:rRNA from 1 species